AGCAGCCGCGGUAAUUCCAGCUCCAAUAGCGUAUAUUAAAGUUGUUGCAGUUAAAAAGCUCGUAGUUGAAUUUCGGGAUCAAUAUGUUGGUCGUGCCUCGGUACGUACUAGCUUAUUGGUUUCUCCUUUCUGAAGAACCAUGAUGUCAUUUAUUUGGUGUCGUGGGGAAUCAGGACUGUUACUUUGAAAAAUUAGAGUGUUUAAAGCAGGCUCACGCUUGAAUACAUUAGCAUGGAAUAAUGAAAUAGGACGUUUGAUUCUAUUUUGUUGGUUUCUAGGAUCGACGUAAUGAUUAAUAGGGAUAGUUGGGGGCAUUAGUAUUCAAUUGUCAGAGGUGAAAUUCUUGGAUUUAUUGAAGACUAACUACUGCGAAAGCAUUUGCCAAGGAUGUUUUCAUUAAUCAAGAACGAAAGUUAGGGGAUCGAAGACGAUCAGAUACCGUCGUAGUCUUAACCAUAAACUAUGCCGACUAGGGAUCGGAUGAUGUUAAUUUUUAAUGUACUCAUUCGGCGCCUUACGG
rnacentral:rRNA from 1 species